rnacentral:rRNA from 1 species
GGUGAGUAACACGUGAGUAACCUGCCCUUAACUCUGGGAUAAGCCUGGGAAACUGGGUCUAAUACCGGAUAGGAGCGCCUACCGCAUGGUGGGUGUUGGAAAGAUUUAUCGGUUUUGGAUGGACUCGCGGCCUAUCAGCUUGUUGGUGAGGUAAUGGCUCACCAAGGCGACGACGGGUAGCCGGCCUGAGAGGGUGACCGGCCACACUGGGACUGAGACACGGCCCAGACUCCUACGGGAGGCAGCAGUGGGGAAUAUUGCACAAUGGGCGCAAGCCUGAUGCAGCGACGCCGCGUGAGGGAUGACGGCCUUCGGGUUGUAAACCUCUUUCAGUAGGGAAGAAGCGAAAGUGACGGUACCUGCAGAAGAAGCACCGGCUAACUACGUGCCAGCAGCCGCGGUAAUACGUAGGGUGCGAGCGUUAUCCGGAAUUAUUGGGCGUAAAGAGCUCGUAGGCGGUUUGUCGCGUCUGUCGUGAAAGUCCGGGGCUUAACCCCGGAUCUGCGGUGGGUACGGGCAGACUAGAGUGCAGUAGGGGAGACUGGAAUUCCUGGUGUAGCGGUGGAAUGCGCAGAUAUCAGGAGGAACACCGAUGGCGAAGGCAGGUCUCUGGGCUGUAACUGACGCUGAGGAGCGAAAGCAUGGGGAGCGAACAGGAUUAGAUACCCUGGUAGUCCAUGCCGUAAACGUUGGGCACUAGGUGUGGGGACCAUUCCACGGUUUCCGCGCCG